GAGUUUUAUUUUCAUCCACUUUGAAGCAAUGAAACGUAUAAAAAGUUUAGAGUGCACACAUGUCAACAUUUAUACUCUGUACAUAUAAAGUCUUUAAAACACAGAUAUCAACAUGAGAAGAGAAACCUUAUAAAGGAAGUUAAGUUAAACCUGUCAAUGUGACAGAAACGAUAACUUAUAGCAUAGCAUAGAAAUACGUGAGGAUCCAGAGAUCGGUAAUGUGCUUUUGAAGAAGAGACAACGUGACUUCAGUUCUUUGUCCAGUCAGAGACUGAACUCAAUGUUUUGUCGGUGCAGGAGCGAUCUUCAGCAGAGUCGUCUUCACGGGCGUCUUCUGUCCCUCUGAGGACGUCCAGAACAUCCCCUGUCUCCUGGUGUGAUGGCGUCUGAGCGUGCUCCACCUUCUGGGGUAUUUGCCGUUGAGGUGAAGGUGACGAUGAAGGUGGAGCAGUCUUACCUGAGAGCAUGUUGGCACAGUUGGCGUCUUUGGCGAGGUCGUUGUCUCUGUCAGCGGUGGAGAAAGGAACACCGGCGUCUCCGGUCGUCAUGAUGUUCUGACCCUCAGACUCCGGCUGUAGGUUGAGAGCGAACAUCUUCUCUUCUCCGUCGAGUUGGAACUCAUAACGAGCGACUUCCUGCUGCCCCGCCCCGUCAGACACCUCCACCUGCAGGACGUACUGUCCCUGUUUGGAGAGAGAGUGGAUGUUCUCCAAGCCCAGCCAGAACUCGCCUGCAGGAGGACAAACAUCAGGUUGCCGAAGCCUCUCCUGUAGCUCUCCCAGAGCUGGUUGAAGUUCUGAGAUCCAUCGAGACGUUUCUGCACGACAGUCCAUCCACCUUCUGAACACAGAGAGAGGAAGUUCAGUGGUCACUGGAGAGCCGAGCUUUCCUACCUGAGGAAAACGCCGGCACACGAGAGCGUCACUGUUUGAUUCACAUCUCUGGGAAGAGUCGGCUAACAGAAGAACUGAUGCAGUUACUAAUCAGCCAAACGUUUCCUCAUGCUGAUGCCUGGAUUCAAGACAAAACCUGUGAAGUUCGGGGUGAAUUAAAACGACAAACAAUCAUAUGAUGACAGCAAAACUAAAUCUACAGCUUUGAAUUUUGUGCCACCUUGAAAUCUGUUGUCUUUAUGUCUUAACAGCCUUUAUGAUAGAAAACUAAACUCAAGGAUGACUUCACGUUUUCCCCUCUAGCUCAGGGGUUCCCAAAGUGUGGGUUGGGACCCCUUAGGGCAGGGGUGUCCAAACUUUUUUCAAAGAGGGCCACAUAUGAUGUUGU